rnacentral:rRNA from 1 species
GACGUAGGGCGCGAGCGUUGUCCGGAUUUAUUGGGCGUAAAGAGCUCGUAGGCGGCUUGUCGCGUCGACUGUGAAAACCCGAGGCUCAACCUCGGGCCUGCAGUCGAUACGGGCAGACUAGAGUUCGGUAGGGGAGACUGGAAUUCCUGGUGUAGCGGUGAAAUGCGCAGAUAUCAGGAGGAACACCGGUGGCGAAGGCGGGUCUCUGGGCCGAAACUGACGCUGAGGAGCGAAAGCGUGGGGAGCGAACAGG